rnacentral:rRNA from 1 species
CCUACGGGUGGCAGCAGUGAGGAAUAUUGGUCAAUGGGCGGGAGCCUGAACCAGCCAAGUCACGUGAGGGAAGACGGUCCUAUGGAUUGUAAACCUCUUUAGGCGGGGCGCAAUGCCGGGCACGCGUGCCCGGAGGGAGAGUACCCGCAGAAUAAGCAUCGGCUAACUCCGUGCCAGCAGCCGCGGUAAUACGGAGGAUGCGAGCGUUAUCCGGAUUUACUGGGUGUAAAGGGGGCGCAGACGGUGAUGCAAGCCAGGAGUGAAAGCCCGGGGCCCCACCCCGGGACUGCUCUUGGAACUGCGUGGCUGGAGUGCAGGAGGGGCAGGCGGGAUGCCUGGGGUAGCGGUGAAAUGCGUAGAUAGCAGGGGGAACACCGGUGGCGAAGGCGGCCUGCUGGACUGCAACUGACGUUGAGGCCCGAAAGCGUGGGGAGCAAACAGGAUUAGAUACCCCAGUAGUC